rnacentral:rRNA from 1 species
UACGGAGGGGGCUAGCGUUGUUCGGAAUUACUGGGCGUAAAGCGCGCGUAGGCGGACCUGCAAGUCGGGGGUGAAAGCCCGAGGCUCAACCUCGGAACUGCCUUCGAUACUGCGGGUCUCGAGUCCGGGAGAGGUGAGUGGAAUUCCUAGUGUAGAGGUGAAAUUCGUAGAUAUUAGGAAGAACACCUGUGGCGAAAGCGGCGCACUGGACCACAACUGACGCUGAGGCGCGAAAGCUAGGGGAGCAAACAGG